rnacentral:misc_RNA from 1 species
GUAACACAGGGAGAAGGACGAGAAACCAAUAUCACGCUCUAGCUCUAGAUCUUCACUUGAUUUGAUGAUCGUUAAAGCUCACUGGCUAGCUAGAAUAAUUAAACCAACUUAACACACAAACAGGCUUGAAAACACAAGGAAAAUCUUAUAUAAUUUUCCGACUUUAUUUGCUGCAAUGGCUUGAAGAACAAUGGUUACAGGCUUGAAAUCCUUGGAUUUGGAGAAGCA